UGGCGUCGUAAUUUUUUUAUUUUUUGUUUUUUAUUUUUGUCCCUCUUUUCUCUCAAUCAGUGAAGGGAAUGAUUUAUUUCGCAUGGUGCAAUUGCUUAUAAUACCAUAAUCAAUCUUCAGAGUUCGAUAAACCCUAAUUCCUUCUGCUGCUUCACUCAGCAACUCUUUCCGAUGACGGCUCUUAAGCUUGGUUUGUUGCUUGCUUUGGCAUCCGGAUUUGCCGCCAUUUCUAUUUACAUCACUGGACUCUCUGAUCCUUUUGUAUGUAUAUCCCAAUUAUCACCUCACAGAUGAAGACACGCAAGCGUUGCUUUCGCUGCAUGACACUUUCCAAAAGUGUGUGAUUGCAAACGGACUUGGCCUGAAAGCAACUAGAGGCACAGAUUAUUGCCCAAACCUCAAUAAAUUUCCCCAGUGACACCAUCCCCAAAUGGAGAGAUCCCAAAA